GACGUAGGGCGCGAGCGUUGUCCGGAUUUAUUGGGCGUAAAGAGCUCGUAGGCGGUCUGUCGCGUCUGCUGUGAAAACCUAGGGCUUAACUCUGGGCGUGCAGUGGGUACGGGCAGGCUAGAGUGCGGUAGGGGAGACUGGAAUUCCUGGUGUAGCGGUGAAAUGCGCAGAUAUCAGGAGGAACACCGGUGGCGAAGGCGGGUCUCUGGGCCGUAACUGACGCUGAGGAGCGAAAGCGUGGGGAGCGAACAGG
rnacentral:rRNA from 1 species